rnacentral:lncRNA from 1 species
UCCUGUAAAAUUAUUUGCUACUGAUCUUAAAGAAACUCCUAGGGUAGAACAUCUUGGGCAGAUUAUUGAACAACAAAAUUUUACCAAUCUUGCUCUCAGUACUAUAGGAAGAUAAACUGAAAGGAUUGAAAACAUCCUUUUAGAAAGAAGAGAAGAAGCUGGAACAAUUACCAAAAGAUUUCCUAAAAAUCCAAAGAUAAAAAAAGUUCAAAUGCCACUC